rnacentral:rRNA from 1 species
GAUGAACGCUGGCGGCGUGCCUAAUACAUGCAAGUAGAACGCUGAAGGAGGAGCUUUCUCUUCUGGAUAAGUUGCGAACGGGUGAGUAACGCGUAGGUAACCUGCCUGCUAGCGGGGGAGAAAUAUUGGAAACGAUAGACAAUAACGCAUGACAACAGUUAAUGCAUGAUAACUGUUUAAAAGGGGCAAUUGCCCCACUACCUGAUGGACCUGCGUUGGAUUAGCUAGUUGGUGAGGUAACGGCUCACCAAGGCGACGAUACAUAGCCGACCUGAGAGGGUGAUCGGCCACACUGGGACUGAGACACGGCCCAGACUCCUACGGGAGGCAGCAGUAGGGAAUCUUCCGCAAUGGACGGAAGUCUGACCGAGCAACGCCGCGUGAGUGAAGAAGGUUUUCGGGUCGUAAAGCUCUGUUGAUAGGGAAGAACGGGUGUGUGAGUGAAAAGUUCACGCUUUGACGGUAUCUUACCAGAAAGCCACGGCUAACUACGUG